rnacentral:rRNA from 1 species
GUCUUUUUGUAAAUAUAAAGAGUCCGGUCUGCCCACUGAUGAGUGUAUUAAAGGGCCGCAGUAUUUUAACUGUGCAAAGGUAGCAUAAUCAUUAGUUCUUUAAUUGAGAUCUUGAAUGAAUGAUUAGACAAAAAAGUUACUGUCUUUAUAAUAAUAAUUGAAUUUAACUUUUGAGUGAAAAGGCUUAAAUAAUUUAGAGUGACGAUAAGACCCUAUAAAGCUUAAUAUUAUUAUAAAAUUUUUGGUAAUUUAAAGUAUAAAGGUUUAAGGUUUAUUAAUAUUUUAUUGGGGCGAUAGAAGUAAAAAGUUUAAUAACUGCUUUUUUUUUAAUCAAGUAUAAAUGGUUAGUGUGUAAGUGAUCUUAUUUUAUAGAGUAAAAGAUUAAGUUACUUUAGGGAUAACAGCGUUAUUUUUCUUGAGAGUUCUUAUCGAAAGAAAAGAUUGCGACCUCGAUGUUGAAUUAAAAUAUCUAUAUAAUUGUAGCGGUUAUAUAAGAAGGUCUGUUCGACCUUUAAAUUUUUACGUGAUUUGAGUUCAGACCGGUUUAAACCAGGUCGGUUUCUAUCUUUUAAUUAAAUUGUAAUUAUUUUA